rnacentral:misc_RNA from 1 species
CGAAAGCUUUAUUAGAUGAGAUGUUGUCUAGGAAAAUGAAGCCCAAUUGUGUUACUUAUAAUAAUUUGAUUCAUGGGUUUUGUUGCGAAGGGAAUUUAGAGGAAGCGAAGAGACUGUUUANNNNNNNNNNNNUCAUAGAGGAGGAAAACCGGAUGCUGAUUGUUAUGUAAGGUUCGUCCACUACUUGUGUCAAGGUGGGGAUUUUGAUACAGCAUUGAGAAUUUGUAAGGAGAGCAUUGAGAAGCGAUGGGUUCCGAAUCUAGCGACUAUGAAGUCACUGGUGAACGGGCUUGCUGGUAUUGGUAAGGUGGCAGAGGCAAAGGAGCUUGUUGGGCNNNNNNNNUUACGAAGAAUGUCAAUAUUUGGGAUGAGAUUGAAGCCAGUUUGCCGCAGUAGGGGAGGGGACAUUUAAACAUUGUUUUUAUUUUCUUGAUAAGACCAUGAAGUUAGAAGAUCAGGUAAGAUCCUAUGAGAUGACAUAUUUGCCAAUUAAGUGGAAAUAACAAUUUUUCAUUCAUUUACUGUAUUAUUAGACGUGUUCAUCAUUAAAUGAAAAUGGUGCUGAUUU